AUAUUGGACAAUGGGCGAAAGCCUGAUCCAGCCAUGCCGCGUGUGUGAAGAAGGUCUUCGGAUUGUAAAGCACUUUAAGUUGGGAGGAAGGGGUUGAAGCUAAUACCUUCAAUCUUUGACGUUACCAACAGAAUAAGCACCGGCUAACUCUGUGCCAGCAGCCGCGGUAAUACAGAGGGUGCAAGCGUUAAUCGGAAUUACUGGGCGUAAAGCCCGGCUUGGCGGGUCAGUUAGAUUGAAAUUAAAUCCCCGGGCUUAACCUGGGAACUGCUUUCAUAACUGCUGAGCUAGAGUACGGUAGAGGGUAGUGGAAUUUCCUGUGUAGCGGUGAAAUGCGUAGAUAUAGGAAGGAACACCAGUGGCGAAGGCGACUACCUGGACUGAUACUGACACUGAGGUGCGAAAGCGUGGGGAGCAAACA
rnacentral:rRNA from 1 species